rnacentral:rRNA from 1 species
UACGUAGGUGGCAAGCGUUGUCCGGAUUUACUGGGCGUAAAGAGCGCGCAGGCGGUCGGAUAAGUCGAAUGUGAAAGCCCCCGGCUCAACUGGGGAGGGUCACGCGAUACUGAUCGACUCGAAGGCAGGAGAGGGUAGUGGAAUUCCCGGUGUAGUGGUGAAAUGCGUAGAUAUCGGAAGGAACACCAGUGGCGAAAGCGGCUUCCUGGUCCAGCACCGACGUCAGGCACGAAAGCGUGGGGAGCAAACAGG